AAAUGGGAGCCCCCUCACUUCCCAACCGUACGGUGGGGAGAGGGGUGCAGCAGGCACACAGGAAGCCUUCGGCUCCUCGAGCUCCACAGGGCUGAUCUGCAGGUUUCCCUUCCUGAGGUCCUCCCCACACCAUCCUCCUGGCUUAUCAUUAGGAGGCAAAAAGUUGGCUUGGCUGGGACUGAGAAGAAGGGCAAGUUGGUGCUUCCUCUCCUUAAACCAUUCAAAACGACAUGAAGGAGUUACUCGUGUCUCUUCUGGGGACUGGGCAGAAGCAGAGGCUGGUCAGCAGGCAGGAAAUGGCCACACCAGGAAGGUGCCUCUCCCUCCAGUGUCCUCCUAAUAGCAUCGACCAGUAGCUGAAGAUUCCAUCCGUCUUUGGGCUGCCGUUUUUAAGUCCCCAACCCUGCAGCAUCUCUCCAGCGCCCUGAGAUUUAUCAGAAGUCACAUUCUGAAUGGAAUUCAGGAAUCAAGUGGCAAAGAUCUUUGGAGAUCCCGGCAUGCAAUUACCAAGGCUUGGUAACAAAUUUCAGGCAACUAAGAGGCUCUCUCAUCCUCUUCCAAAUGAAUCUUGGGUGCCAAUUUCCUAUUAAUCGUUUGAUCUAUGGCUCCUAAUAGAGAUCAUUUUUCUUGCUA